CUUUAAAUUUGAAAAUUUAAUAUUUAUUAAAAAGAAAGCAUAAAAAUCGAAUCUGAAAACGCUAAAAAGCAAAGCCUACGAUCUGGUUAGAUGCGAAAGCAACUCCAUAGUUUAAAGAGUAGUACAACUUACCUGGCUAGUUUCAUCAUGCACCUGAUACUUCAUUAAGG